AUGAUGCUAACCGAGCUAACGCGGAAGCACGGCCUGAGGAUCGCCGCUGCUUCUCGUUUUUCCGUGGACGAGUGCGCGGUUGUUGUGGCUGCGGUGGUCGGUCCGCUCAGCCUAAAAUCAGCUGCAAGAAUGAACGGAGUAGUGGUCAUUUUUCUGGACAGUGUUGAUAAAGUCCACAAAGUCAUCGAACACGGCAUCGUUAUCAACGGUGAUUCCAUCUCCGUGUCUCCUCUCACGCAACCUGCUAAAAAGGUAACAGUGUCCAACGUCCCACCUUUCAUCAGCGACCACCUGUUGAGAAAAGAACUGUCCAGGCACGGAAAAAUAGUGUCUCCCAUUAAAAAGUUACCAUCGGGCUGUAAACAGUGGGAACUGCGUCACGUGAUUUCUCACAGGCGUCAGGUCUACAUGGUCCUGAACAAUAAGGAGGAAGAACUGAAUCUUGGUUUUAAGCUCAGAAUUGACGACUACGACUACGUUCUGUUCAUAACGUCAGAGACUAUGAAAUGCUUUGGAUGUGGCAAAGAGGGACAUUUAGUGAGAGCCUGUUCAGACAAAGCUGGGGGCGACUUCCACUCGGGUGCAGGAGGCCGUGCAGCCGCCUAUGGAGGAGAGGCCCAGCGCGGAGGAGAGGAGCAGCACGGAGGAGAGGAUGGACAGGAGGCUGGUGGAGAAGGUGCAGACGGACGGGAGGACGGUGGAGAAGGUGCAGACGGACGGGAGGACGGUGGAGGAGGUGCAGACAAGCAGGAGGAGGCCGGUGGUGGUGGUGAAACAAAAGUAGUGAGUGGAGACACUGUGGUCGAGACUGACAACGAACGGUCUAAACAGGCUGAAGUUGAGACUGUAAACGGAAGUGAAGUUGCUGAUAUGUCAACUGUGGGAAGGCAGAACAGAAAUGAUAUAGAAAUGUGUGAUCAGGACCCAAAUGUAAACAGUGCUGUAGCUGAAGAGAAUGCAGGGAUGGGUGAUGGUAGGAAAGAACAUACAAAGAGAAAAAGCGACACUACUGUUGAUGACACAGAUGAUCAGUCAGGAACUGGUAAAAAGGUAAAGGGCCAAAAGCCAGACAGACGACCUGUGACUCAGAUCUCAGUGAGGAUGAGUUUUCUCUCAGCUCUGACGGUGAAAUGUCUGACUGUAGGUCUCAGUCACCGGAGCCCAAGACCUACUCAGUUGAUCGGGUUAAACUGUUUUUACAGCACACGAAAAAUAAGAGGGGUGUGA
rnacentral:lncRNA from 1 species